CUAGACCCCAUUUAAGGGCUGACUACCACUGGGGAAGAAUCUUUUUCUGGAGAUCCCUCCUCUAUGGAAUCUUUCCUGUGAACCUAGACAUGUGGAUGUAGAUCUACUUUCAAACACAAAGAAGCAGUCCAUUUCAGCAACACAAGGAACAAUUCCUUGCAAAGGCCAGUAGUAUCCUUGCUCUGAAGAUUAUAGUCAUGACUGUGGGUAAAAUGUCUGGUUAUUCAGGUGAUAGUGCCUCCUAAUAAGCUUCAGAUGGCUGCUUUUCUUCAAUGGAACUAAUAAAAACAAGCUCAUGCUAGACUGCUGGUCUUUUACUUUCAGCCAUCAGAAAGUGCCAUAGGAAGGACUGAAAACUGUGAGAAUUUUCAACAUAGGAAAUACUGUGGGCAAAGGACAAAGUAGAGUUGUUACUUCAAGACUUCAACUGGAUAUAUGUUUUUAAGUAACAAUCAUUUAAAGAAUGUUUCAAGGAGGCAAAUCUGAUGACAGCGGAGAUUUCUCUGAUAGAAUAAUAUCUUUUUGAAAAUCACGUACAAGGUUUUGUUUUCCAGCGUGGAGCAGAACAAAGCAACAGCAGACUGUUGCUUUGAGCACUGCUUGCAGCCUGCUAUAUGGUACUCUUGGUCCAAAAUCUCUACAUGGGUUUUGCUUUGCUUGGGUUCUUUCAGAGUGUUCCUUUCCUUUGUUUCUGUGGCUUUCUGUUUACUCUAUGAAAAUUGCACACUGAUGUAGAGAACUCCUGUAUUUACCUGAUAUCUAUCCACACUGUGUAUACUAACGUAAGUGCACUAUACCAUGCAAACUCUUGAGUGGCCUGGCAUAUGCGUUUAUAUUUA